rnacentral:rRNA from 1 species
UACGAAGGGGGCUAGCGUUGUUCGGAAUUACUGGGCGUAAAGCGCACGCAGGCGGAUUGAUUAGUCGGGGGUGAAAUCCCGGGGCUCAACCUCGGAAUUGCCUUCGAUACUGUCAGUCUUGAGUCCGGGAGAGGUGAGUGGAAUUCCUAGUGUAGAGGUGAAAUUCGUAGAUAUUAGGAAGAACACCAGUGGUGAAGGCGGCUCACUGGCCCGGUACUGACGCUCAUGUGCGAAAGCGUGGGGAGCAAACAGG